AGAGUUUGAUCCUGGCUCAGGAUGAACGCUGGCGGCGUGCUUAAGACAUGCAAGUCGAACGGACGAUUAAAAAUGAAGCUUCGGCAGAUUUUUUAAAAGUUAGUGGCGAACGGGUGAGUAAUAGAUAAGUAACUUGCCCUUAAGUCUGGAAUAACUUUCUGAAAAGAGAGCUAAUACCAGAUACACUUUUUUAAUCGCAUGAUUAAGAAAGGAAAGGAUUUUUCCGCUUAAAGAGAGGCUUAUGUCUGAUUAGCUUAUUGGCAGGGUAAAGGCCUACCAAGGCAAUGAUCAGUAGCUGGUCUGAGAGGAUGAUCAGCCACACUGGGACUGAGACACGGCCCAGACUCCUACGGGAGGCAGCAGUCGGGAAUAUUGCGCAAUGGGGGAAACCCUGACGCAGCGACGCCGCGUGAGUGAGGAAGUCUUUCGGGAUGUAAAGCUCUGUCAAGAGGGAAGAUAAUGACGGUACCUCUAGAGGAAGCCCCGGCUAACUACGUGCCAGCAGCCGCGGUAAUACGUAGGGGGCAAGCGUUAUCCGGAUUUAUUGGGCAUAAAGAGCGCGUAGGCGGUAAUUUAAGUCAGAUGUUAAAGGCUUUAGCUUAACUAAGGUAUGCAUUUGAAACUGGAUUACUAGAGAUCAGGAGAGGGAAGCGGAACUCACGGUGUAGCGGUGGAAUGCGUAGAUAUCGUGAGGAACACCAGUUGCGAAGGCGGCUUCCUGGACUGAUUCUGACGCUGUGGCGCGAAAGCAUGGGUAGCGAACGGGAUUAGAUACCCCGGUAGUCCAUGCCGUAAACGUUGUUCACUAGGUGAAGGGAGAUCGACCCUCCCUGUGCCAAAAUAAUUCGUUAAGGGAACCGCCUGGGAAGUACGACCGCAAGGUUAAAACUCAAAGGAAUUGACGGGGGCCCGCACAAGCAGUGGAGCAUGUGGUUUAAUUCGACGAUACGCGAAGAACCUUACCAGGGCUUGACAUCUACAGAAUUCCCUAGAAAUAGGGAAGUGCCCGCAAGGGAGCUGUAAGACAGGUGGUGCAUGGCUGUCGUCAGCUCGUGUCGUGAGAUGUUGGGUUAAGUCCCGCAACGAGCGCAACCCUCGUUUCGUGUUGCCAGCAUUAAUGAUGGGAACUCACGAAAGACUGCCUGUGGAAAGCAGGAGGAAGGUGGGGAUGAGGUCAAGUCAUCAUGCCUCUUACGCCCUGGGCUACACACAUGCUACAAUGGCUGGUACAAAGGGUCGCGAAACCGCGAGGUCUAGCUAAUCUCAUAAAACCAGCCUCAGUUCAGAUUGCAGUCUGCAACUCGACUGCAUGAAGUUGGAAUUGCUAGUAAACGCAGAUCAGCAAUGCUGCGUUGAAUACGUUCCCGGGCCUUGUACACACCGCCCGUCACACCAUGAAAGUCGGAAACACCCGAAGCCAAUGUGCAAACCUUUUGGAUGCAGUUGUCGAAGGUGGAGUCGGCGAUUGGGGUGAAGUCGUAACAAGGUA
rnacentral:rRNA from 1 species